UAUGCAGGAUAAGAGACCCCUGUGGGUAAUCGGCUACCUCAGUCUUUCCAUAGGUUCAUCAUCCUCUUUGAGUCAGUAAGACUAAAUACAGUCUUCAAGACUGGACUCUGAUAAAAGGUUUCUCAUACAGAUUUUUUUUUUUUUUGUGAAUAAAAAUCAGUGGCUUUCUCUCUCCUGCUUUUUUCACCUGACAUUGAAAAAGAAAGAUAACGCGAUUACAUGGAACUGAAAAGCUUGGAUUAAAACAAAAUUAAUGUGUUUAGGAUUAGAAGGGAAAUGGCCAUCAUUUUCCCAGUCACUUAGGCUCCCAAUCUUGGUAUCACCCUUGAUUCCCCACUAUCCUUCACCCUACAUAGCCAAGCCAUUCUCAGUCUUGCCAUUUCUAUAUUUAUAACAUCUCCAGUAUAGGUCACUUUCUCUCCACUCAUACAGCCACAACCAUAGUUCAGACCCUGGACAUCUCUUUCCUGUAUUACCACAAUUGAUUUUUAAUUGCCUCAAGUAUCUCCCCAUUCCAUCCAUCCUUUACUCAGUGACUAAAAUGAUUUUCCUCAAAUGUAGAUCUGACCAUGUCACUCUCCCUGCUCAGUGACCUGGUGUGGAAGCCUGUUACCUAGAGGAUCAAAUGUCAAUUGCUCUAAUUGGCAUUUAAAGCCUUUCAUUAUUUGGCUCCUUCCUACCUUUUUAGCCUUCUUAUAGCUCACUCUCCUCCACACACUCUUCUUUCCAGAAACAUUGUUACAGUCCCACAGUACUCCCUUUUGCUUCCCCCCAUGCUUGGGAUCCUCAUCACCUCUGGUUGUCUCCUAGAAAUUCCAGUUUCCUUUAAAAUUCAGCCCAAGCACCAACUUCUGUUGUUCCCUAGUUAUUUUUAGACCUUCUAGUUUCCUUUAAAACUCAAUCCAAACACCAAUUUAUUUAUAUAUUGGCUCUCCCAGGAGAAUGUCAAUGACUUUGACCCUGGGCAAGUCGCUUAGCCUCCAUUGCCUAUCCUUUACUGCUCUUCUGCCUUGGAAGCAAUACCCAGUAUGGAUUCUAAGACAGAAGGUAAAGCUUUAAAAGAAGAAGGAGAAGAAGGAGGAGGGGAAGAAGGAGGAAAAGGAGGAGGAGGAGGAGUGGAAUGAAGAGGAGGAGGAGGAGAAGGAGGAGAAGCAGAAGGAGAAGCAGAAGAAGGAGAAGCAGAAGAAGAAGAAGAAGAAGAAGAAAUAGAAGAAGAAAUAGAAGGAGAAAUAGAAGGAGAAGGAGGAGAAGGAGAAGUAGAAGGAGAAGGAGAAGGAGAAGAAGACAACGACGACGACAAUAACUUGAGGUUGAGGAAUGAGGCAGGGUUUGGGUUUUUUGGUUUGUUUUGCUUUUCUUUGAAUCCCUUGUACUCAUCAAUGUGGCUGGCACAAAGUAGGUUGUUAAUACAUGUUAAUGUAAUUAGAAUUAUAAUUAAUGUUCAUUAAUAUAUUAAUGUUAAUUUAUAUAAAUGUUAAUAAAUAAAGUCAUAGCCUUAGUUGGAUUAACACCUUAAGCAGCAUUUUGAAGACUUUCUAUUUAGAAGCGUCAUGUUCUAUAAUGUCCUUUCUCUGGAAGGAUGGCAAUAUUGUUCUUCUCUAUUGCAAAAAAAAAUCAAUAUAUAGAUAUAGUCAUUAUGUGAGCCUAUAUUUUCUGUUCAUUGAGUCCCAAGUGAGGCUUUCCUGCUUUUUCCUCAAGAUGCCUUUUUGGGUGGCAGCACAGCAUCCCUUGGUUGGACUGGUUGCAAAAAAUAGUUUCUGCCCAUCAUUGUGGUGGCCAUCCUGAGUAGCCAGAUGUCAGGCAGUUUCUGCCAGGAAGGGAAGACAGCUGUUUGGAACAGGAAAUAAGAAGAGGAUGCUGGGGAAGGCGUCAAGAGUUUUAUCUGGGGAGACAGGACGACAGUUGGCAACGAGGAGGGAGCAGUGCGGAGCAGGGACUGGAACAUGUCUAGAAAAAUCAAUUUUCUUUGUGACUUAGGUGAUAGCCCAAGAUAUACAAAAAUGGCACUGGGUUAUGAAUUCUUGCAUUUGUUUAUAUUCUCUGCACAGCCAGUUUUAUUUAAAUGGCAUCUAUAGACUAAUAGAUUUUUUUAAAGUUCCAAUCACAAAAGCAGUUUCCUCUGUCAAUGUAAUUUAUGAGUAUAGAAAAAAAAGCUUUAGGGAAAGCAUUUCAUACACACACACAUACACACACACACAUAUGUGUGUGUGUAUGUGUGUGUGUGUGUGUGCCUGUCUGUCUCCUAUCAUGCCCAUUAGGUGAUAGAGGGGAUAAAGGACAGCAUUUGGAUUAAAAAAGACCUGAAUUUGAAUCCUGCCCGAGACCCUUACUAGCUGUGAGACCCUGGGCAAGUUGUCAAUCUCUGCCUGCCUCAGUUUCCUCUUCUGCUAAGGGAGGAUCAUAAGACCAUCUAUGUCAUCGAGUUAUUGUGAGGAUAAGAUGAUCUUCAUGCAGUGCCCAUCACAUAGUUAGUAGGUGCUUAAUAAAUGUUUAUUGGCCAACUGACAGAUAAGACUUUGUAAACUUUAAACUACUAUAUAAAUUAUUAGCUACGUUGUUGUUAUUUUUCCUGGCUCAAUCCAUAUUUCCCAUUUUUUUUAGAAUUCUCGUGUUUCACAUGUUCCACAAAAGCUGUCCCUCACCAUCAUUGAAGCCCUCUGGUGCUUUGACCCAACCAUAUUCUCAAAGUCCAUUUCCCCAACCCAGACUUGACUUGAUGAUCCGCCAUAUUCAUGAUUCCCCUUUGGGCAGGGUUCCCCAAUGCUUAUCUUUAGCACUGGCCUCACAGAUGACCUCUGGACCUUCCCCUCUAACUGGAAGAAGCAUUUCCCCAUCCUCCUUCAUUUUAGUGUCUCCCUUCCAAGAGUCUCUCUAAUUUAGCCUCUCUAUGACUUGUUCAUACAGAGGUGUUUCCAUGUUGUCUCUCCACGUUAGACUGGGAGUUCUCUGAGAACAAGGACUGCUUUUCUGAAUUCUUAGACUCUCUCACACUUCCUUCUUUGCCUGGUACCUAAUAGGUGCUAAUAUUUACUGACUGGCUGACAUUAGCUUCCUACCUUUGUUCAGUCAUUUCAGUACGCUUUGUGACCCUUCUUUAGGGUUUUAUUGGCAACUGGAGGAUACCUUCAACUGCAUCUAUCAUUUGUACCCCAAAUUCAAGGCGCCCCCAAAGCAAAUCUAAAGUUUUUCUUAUUAAACCUUGCCUUUCCUUCCAUCAUUCACAACAUCAUUUAUCUUCUCUUUCUUAUUUGAAACCUUAGACAUGCCUGGGACUCUUCCAUCUCCCUUGCCCUUCCAGAACCAUUCAAUGACCAAGUCCUCUUAAUUCUACUCCCAUAAUAUCUCUUGCAUCUUAAAGGGUUUGGGGCUGAAGGUCAUACAUUAUCUGGGUGACUCUGGACAAGCCAUUGAACCAAUCAUAGUCUCUGUCUUCCCACCUGAAAAUUAAGUGGAUUAGAUGAUUUUGAGUAAAAUAGACAGGUAGAAGGUGAACAAUUUCAUUUUUGUCUUAGUAUCCCUCUCUUUACGAGUAUCUAGAAUACAACAGAUACUUAAAGAUCAAAAGUUUCCUUCAAUUCUUGAUCCUAUAAUCUUCCUUAUAUAUACAAGUCUCCUUUGUGCCUCUUUCUUACCAAAUGAAUAAACUCUUCCAUUUGUCAUUCAAGGUCCCUCAGAAUCUUGCCCUUGUCAAACUUUCCAUCCUUUCUUCUAUACUGUAAGUACUCUGAAAAAAAAAAAAGACUGGCCUUUUGUCUUCGAAUAAAUACUGAGUUUUAGUUCCAAGACAGAUGAGCAAUAAGGACUAGGCUAAGGUCACAUAGCUAAGAAGUGUCCAUGGCCAGAUUUGAACCCAGAACCUCCUAUCUACAGACUUGGCUCUCUAUUCCCAAAACCAACUAGCUGCCCCAUUGUAAAUAGUCUUUAGGCAAAAUAAUCUGCUAACUAUUCUCUAAUCUGCCCCCUACGUGACUCUUUUCACUCAUACCUCUCUAAUACUGGGUCCACUUUCUGUUCUCUCUCCCAGUCUACAGAUUUUCUUAUCAUCUUUUUUUAGAACCCAACACAAAUACCAAGCUUCCUUGAUUUUCAUUACCGAUCUCCCCCACCUCUCAAUCCCCUGUCACUCGGCUAACAUUGUAUUUGCUCCUCUCUUCUGCAGUCACCAUGUUAUUUUGAAUCUUUGUGCCUGAGUCACUUUCUUUAUUGACCUAUAAGCUUCAUAAAGUCAGGGAUCCUAGGAGCUUGUCUAACAUGAACUUCAUAUUUCUCCUAGCUACUCUGAGAAAUGUUCAGUACACAAUUGCUCCUUAAAGGAAGGCUGAGUUGAUUUUAAUUAAAUAUGAAAAUUGGUGAAAUAUCUGCAUCUUCUUUUUUUAGAGACUAAGAACACAUCUAACCAUAAUUAUUAAAGGAAAAAGCUUUUGACACAUAAUAAAAUGAAAUAUGUCUUAAGUAAGAUAGAGACCAAGAGUAAUUUAUCAUUUCAAUGAAAAACUAGUAUCAUCUUAUUUCAAUAAUUCAAAAGAUCUGUGAUUUCAUCAGCCAAGCUAUUCUUUUUGCCAACAUAGAUCAGCACCCCUUUGUCUGGCUCUGAUGGAUGCUCUGUCAUUUUCCCCAUAAUGGCUGAUCCAAACUUUCUCUGCAUUCUUCUCUUCAAGGCACCAACUCAACUGUCUGCCAUGUUCUUCUCUGCAGAUGUCACCUUGCCUCAGACUUUUCUGUGAAGUCAGAGACCAUCUGAGGUUUACUAUAACCUGUUUCUUCCCCAUCUCCAUGCCUAAAUCCUGUAUUGCUCUGCCAUUUCCUUCUCAUUUUUUUAAUGGAUGAGGAAACUGAGGCAAACAGUUAACUGACUUGCCCAGGGACACACACAGAAAGUCAUCUCCAUGGAUCUUCAGGAAACAAGGUAUUUGCUCAGUUAUUCUAGUACAAGAGUUCUUAUUCUGAGGUCUUUAGGAAUGUAUGAACUGGAAUGGGAAGAAAUUGCAUCUUUAUUUCAAUGGGAUGGGUUUCCUGGGUCAUUUUAUGCAUUUUAUAUUAUACCUAGAAGUAAAAUUCUGAGAAGGGUUCAACUUCUGCCUGCCAAAGAGGUCCAUGAAAUAAGAAAAAAAGUGGUUCGGAGAUCCUGCUUUGGUCCUGUGCAUGGAAUCUUCAUGGAUCCCAAGAGUUAACAUUACACAACUAGAGGAUCAUAUCCGAGUCUCCUCACCUCCAGUUUCUCCCUGCGCAGAUGUCCGAUGGAGAGUCUUAAAGCUCAAAUUCCCCCGUGAUGUGCUUCUGCUCAAGAAUCUUCACCAUCUCCUUCUUCUCAGGGGAUAAAAUGCAAAUGGGUCUGCUUGGUGCUUUCAUCUCCAUACAGUCUGGCUCUAGUUUGUCUUCUCACAUUAAUUUCAUAUUUUUAUAUCCCAGCCAAACUGGUUGGAUGGAUAUUUCCAGUAUUUUAACCCAAUGUGUAGCAGAUAAUGAAUGAAUAAGUGGUUCUUGAGUGAUGCAUUGAGCUGUUCUCAUUCCCACCCCUGGAAUGCUUUCCUUCUCAUUGCUACCUUUUGGAUUCUUAGAGUUCCUUCAAGAUUCAGUCAAUCAAUCAACCAACAAAUUUUUAUCAUGUGUCUUCUAUGGGCUUGGUGCUAUGCGAGGGUCAGACUCAAUCCCAAUGCCCUCCCUCCAUAGAGCUUUUCUUUGGUACCCCAUUUUCCUGAAAUUGCUUUCAUGUCGAUAUCUUUUCUUCCCAAAAGACUAGAAGCUCUCUGAAGACAAGGACCGCUUCAUUUCUGUCUUUGUAACCCCAGAACCCAGCACAGUGCCUUGCAUGUAACAACUUGAUAACUACUUAAAAAAAUAUGAAUGUACUCCUAUGUACCACCAGGAAUCUGAAUAAUAUAAGGACGAUUAUCAGAAAGAGGCAGGCUUUGGGACAGGAAAUUUCUGAGUUCUAAUCUUAUCUUUGUUAGUUUGGGGACAAAUGGCAAGUCAUUUCUAUUCUCUGAACCUCAACUAUCUCAUCUGUAAAGUGAAAAAGUCAUAUUUGCUUUGUCCAAGGUUACAUAGGUCCUAUGUUGCAGACUAAGGACAUGAACUCCGAUCUUAAGACUCGAAAUCCAGAGACAUGGUUAAAUUUAAACACAUUGGAUUUCCAUAGAGUUUUGUAGUCUUGGAUAUCCUUGGCACAGAAGACAUAUUUGGAUUUUUAAGGCUCAUUCUCUUUCUAGUUAAAAAUCUCUUCCUAACAACAGAAAAUCAGUUGUUCAAUUCUGAGAAUGCCAGUGAUUACCUGGGUGGGGCCCUAAUUUAGUAAAAACAAUUUAAAAUUCAGAUUAUAGCAAAAAUUAAAAUGCCUUGCAUUGAGAUCCUUCCCUGUCAGGGGAUAUUUUACAAUAAAACAGUAAAAGAAAAAAAAGAGACUAGAAACUAGAUUAUCUAAGGACCUUGAUUAGGUCUUUAUUGGCUCCAUUUGUUUGCUUUUUAUAGAACUUUGUACCUUAUAGACACAGUACAAAAGCUCCCUUCAUUUUGUUCUUUUAAAUUUCCUAAGAUUCUCCAAGUACAAUUUUUUUAAAGGAGGUUUACUUUUUAAAGAAAAAGGUGUUUAUAUUUAGCCAUGAAAAUCACCUGUUGUUCCCUAAAGAGUCCUCAGUUUUAAAUUCAGUUUCCACCCCAUAUCUUGAAAUUUAAAUACCAGUUUCCCAUUUAGGGAAGAAGUAACAAAGGCCUGGGUAGUCUCCUAUAAUCCACUUGCUAUUGUUCUAACCGAGUUAAUUUUAUUCAUCCAUAGCUCUCCUGCCAGCUGAAGACAACAAAUAGUGACAUUAAUUUAGAAUAUAGCAGCACAUGUGUGUACAGGCCCCAGAGAAAUGGAACCACUAAAAACAAUGUUUUUCCUUCUGAAGGGUUUUAGGGUCUGGCCAAAGGGCUGUGGGUAGGAGGUGGUCUAGCUUUCUUUUGUAGCAGUCAAAAUUCCUUCUGCUUUUUUGUCCUUUUCUUGAGUCAAAAGGUAGGAGGGCAAGGCGUAUGGAAGGGGCAAGAAGGUAGACCAGGACACCAACUAGCCAAAAGCAUCAUCUACUUUUCUAAGGAUUCCAUUAUGGUAUGAAAAGUUCUUCUCUACUUCCAAUCCCCCUUUCCUAACAGAAUAUAUACUUUAGGAAAAGCAAUCCUAAGAUUCUCCUUCCUCCCCCCAUAUAAUGCAUUGUUGGCCCUUGAUGAAUCCACAUUCAUUCAUUCAUUCAUUCUCAUUUCCUCUUAAGUGAAAACACUCAAUUUGGAAUCAAAGGAUAUGACUUUGCAUCUUGCCUCUGCUAGUUAUGACCUGUAUCACCUUGGGCAAGUCCCUUGAUCUUUGGGCCUCAGUUUCCUUAUAUGUAAAAUGAGAGGAGUUGAACUAAAACUUUUUUUGCCAUAUUUAGAUCCUAUGUUGAUUAAUAUCAGUACAUAUCAAAGGACUGGAUUGAAAAGUACAGGGAAGCAGAUAUUCACUUUUAAAAAAUUAAAAUGAAUCUGUUAAAAAGCAAAUGAAAAGAAAAUAGCCACCAUUUACAUAGGGCUUUAAGUUUUGCAACCAUUGAAUUUUAUGCCAUCUUAUUGAUUAUGAGCUUGUUAGACAAUGCUAUUAUUAUCCCUAUUUUACAGGUGAAGAAACCAAGGCACAGAGAUAUCAAGGAGCUCACCUAAUGUCUCAAGUGUCAGAGGCAGAUUCUGAACUUGAGUUUUCCCUGAGUCCAAGUUUAAUACUCUCUAUACCACACAAAUUCUUUGAAAUACCCAUACUGAUUACUGCUCUACCCUGACACUAAUAUUUGUACCCAUUUCAUUCAUGAGCAGUUUAAAAUGUUUUUAAAUAUUCUAAUGACUUUUAAAAAAAUAAACAACCAAAUGAAUGAAUGAAUGAAUGAACACAAAUAAAUGAAUAAAUGAACAAAUAAAUAAAUGAAUGAAUGAAUAAUUAAACAGAUAAAUGAAUGGAUAGCUAAAUAAAUAAAUGAAUGAAUGAAUGAAUAAAUAAAUGAAUGAAUGAAUAAAUACAUGAGAACCUUGGCCCAGGAUGAAGCCAAAAGAGAGCUAGACAGAUUUGUUUUGUGUGCUGGCUCAGCUUCUUUCUAGCUAUGUCAUCUUGGACAACUCAUUUUAUUUCUCUGAGUCUCAUUCCCAUCUUGGAUAAUGUCAGGAUGGUAGGAGAUGUUGUCUCAAAACCUUGUGAUGUCAGCAUUCCUUGAUUUGAAUCUUUCAUUUGGAUAUUCCCCAAUCUGAGCACUUGUAGUCUAUAGUAGUAUAGAAGGGGUUCAAGGUGGAUGGCAUGUUAUUGUUCCUUUGCUGUGGCUGGUUAUUGGUCCACUUACUCAACUCUAUGAUAGAAGAAAAGAUCAGAAUUCCCUUCUAGACUCAGUCUGCUGUUACAAGGGAAUCACUUUAAAAGACUGAUAUAUAUCAAUUUAAGGUCGCCAAGGAAUUCAGCUAUGUAAUUCCUUAAUGAAAACUCAAGUCUGCAGUAAAUCUUUUAUGGAGUUUAAUUACAAUAGGAGGAAGAAAGGAAUUAGAGAUAGAGAGAGAAAAGGGAGAGAAGGGAAUAGGGCUUAAAUACCCCUUCUGUUUAGGCUGGGCCAAAAGGCCCAAGCCCUUAGAUAGCUGGGGCAAAGAAAAGAGAUCAGUCCCUAUUACUCACGUGACCAAAAUGGAGAAACAGUCUCCGGGGCCCCCACCUUCAGCUUCCUUCAGCGCAAGCUUCUCAGAGCACACCGCAACCACUCCGGCCAACUCCUCAACCACCCCCCAAGUCUUCAGACCCCCCUGAUCUUUAAGGAAACCAUCCAAGUUGCCUCCCCUCAGUUCUCACAUCUACCAAUCACUGUCCAUCAAUUUCCCUGUGCCAAUGGAGGCUCUAGCUUAACCCAGGACCGCCCAGAGGCUUUGCACAUGUCUGUUGAAGCUCAUAUUUUCAAAUAAUUAAAUCUUUGCUCCUUUGCUACAGCCCUUUCUAAAUCCUGUUAACCUGAGUAGGGUAGAGAUUGGAAUAAUUAAAUUUUGAUCUAGGCUGCAGCCCUUACUCAAUCCUGUUAGGACUGAGUAGGGUGGAGAUUGAUUCCAAGUAUCUCCAUUGUAUCAAUUCUAAAAUCAAUCAUGACUCAAAGAAAUUCCUGUUCUAUGCUUAAGCAUAGGUCAAAGUCCUUUCCAUUGUUCAGCAAAAGGUUUCUGUCCUAAAGUAAUCUUUAGAAGGGAAGGAGAAGGAACCUCCCAUGCCAAUGGGAUUCACAUUCCAAUAGUCAAGACCCACUAUCAAUAGGAAAUUUUUCAAGUAUGAAAUUUCCCAAUGGUGAAAUUUCCAACAUUUAUAAGUCUAAGAAAUUUUGAGGUUUACACUGCAUAAGUGUGAGUAUGUGUUUCCCCUCCCCAGGCAAAAUGGCAUCGAAAAAUGCCAUUCUACACAUGCAAGAGAUGGUAGACCAUACAAAUUCUCUGAAGUAGACCAGAAAACAUUAUGAGAUCCAGUAGAAGAAAAAACCAAACAGACCAGAAAGAAGCAUCCCCGGUAGAUGGCUGAUGCUCAGUUUUUUGGAAAUCUUGAAAAUACAGAAUCUCUUCCCUGCCACCAUAAUGCAUAUAGAUAGCUCCACUUUCCUCUCCAUCCCCAUCUGCUUGUCUGGCCAGCCAGUGAGUAAGCCAGGGCAUCUCGCCAUCUACGUGUCACUGCCCAUAUCUCUCUUACCUGCAGACACACAAACAUGCCAUGGCACACAGGCACAUGCACUCAUACACACAUACUUUACCUCUUGCUUUUGGCCAUCAUUCAAAUCAAUGAUAUCAUUACUUCUGGAGAGAGUGUGUUCUGGACAUCCACUCACCAUUUCUGUGGCUCCUCAGGCUAAAAUGCCUUCCUGGCUGGCCCUUCUCUCUGUGCCAUCUUCCCCAUUAAAAUUUCAAGUUUCUUUAAGAUCAAAGAUUUUCUUUUUUUUAACACAUUCGUGGCACAAAUAAAUGCUUUUUCAUUCAUCAUUCAAUCAUCCAUUCACUCAUUGAAGAAUCUUUCCUCUUUAUCCCUAACUUUGAAGAUCACAGGCAUGGGAUGUUGUUUCCUCUGCAGAAUUUCCUAUUUCCCACAGGGCCAAAGCAUUUCUAACUUUAUGUAAAUGGUAGCUUAGCAUUCAAGUUUGCCAAAAUAUCUGUCUUUCUCUUGUUUUUCCAUUAGUUUCCUCCUUGGAGCUUCUCAUCCUUUUAGGUAUCUAGAACAUUCCUUCCUGACUUUUUUCUCUUCUUUCCCUCUACCUUCUGAGUGCAUUUCCCCUCACUAUCCAGGUUCACACCACCACCACCCCUCGCUGCAUUUUUCUUCUCUCUUGUAACCUGGGAGGCCACCAAGGCAGAGAAGUUCAGCUUGGAGGGGAGAAUGAGGGAGGGAGAAUGGCUCAGUGACAGAUCCUCUGGGGGAAACAUCUGUGGGCUGCUGUAGCAGCUGCAAUGAGUCACACUUCUGCCUUUUCUAGAAUCAGAGAGUUUCCUGCUUUCCAUAAGCCCCUUUGUCUUUGGUGCUUGAGUCUACAGGGGCUCAUCUUUGCAAGCUGGCCACCCACCUGGCAGACCUCAUCCUCUUAGACCCAGGAAACGUUGGAGCUACAUCUCACUGUCAUCAUAUAGUUUAUUUUCUUCCUUGCUCAGUUAUUUAAAGCAAUGCUCUAGGUCCUGAAGAAGUCAGCCUUCACUGCCCAGGUUUUUCUGAAUUUUAGACAUAGAACUGGAAGUGUAACCUUAAAAGGGGGUUGUCACAUUUUUGUCUGGUCCCUCCAACUUCCUAGGUCUAGGAUCAAUCACGAUGGGAAAUGAGUAUCCUUUGGGACCUUUGGAGGCUUUCCAGGAGAAUUAAGUUAUUACUUUUAAAGGAAGCCCAAAUAAACAUGGUAGCAUAUAAUUAAAAUAUAAAUAUAUAUACCAUGUAUUUGUAUUUAUGUAUUUUAUUUAGAUCUGUUUCUCUUCUCCCAUAGAAUAUAAGUUUUUUGAGGCCAAGAGACUUUUUCCUAAUUCUAUCUUGAUUUUACACAGCUUCUAACAGUGUCUCAUGUGUAGUGGGUACCUAGUAAACCUUGUGGAUCGAUUGAAGGAUUCCAAGUUUCAUGGUUCUAGACUCACUUUUCACUAUGGAAAGCUAGAAGCAAAAAGGAUUAAUGCCAAUGGGAAGGGGGCUAUAGAUUCCAUUAGGUUCUCUUGAAGUUAAUUUGGAGGAUAAAACAUCCUAUAUUUGGACCAAUCUGGCAUACUACAUAGAAUCAAGGAGAAGGUGUAGCAGUCCACCCCUAGCUAUGGGCAAGGGAAACAGUUGGUAUGUACAGAUUGCCUUAGAAGAGAGCAUGCUCAGUCUUGAGCAUGCUCAGUAUUGCACAUGGCUGGGAAAGCCUCUGACCCUUGACCCCAGCUUCCCCCAGGUUAGGUGGGAACACAGGUUUCUUUGUGCUCACCUGGUUAAGAGAAACCACACCUAUACCUUGUCAUUAACCAAUGAGAAUCAUCCCUAUGUACUGUGUAUAUUUGCAUAUCAAAGACUAUAUUUAGCCCAGCAAGCUCUGCCUCUCUCUCUCUCUCUCUUUCAGGCUAGCUGAUGGCUGUCCUGGCAGGAGCUUGGCCUCUGGCCAAGCUCCAUCUUUAAACCUUCUCUAUCUCUCUCUUUCAUCUCUCCGACCUGUGUGGUAUUAAAUGUGGAUCUCUGGACUGGUAAAAGCCUUUGGAGUGGUCCUUUGAUCAAAGCUUGGCUGUGGCUUAUGGAAAAUUAAUAAAGACUCAUUCCUGCCA